UGUAUGAUUACUUCUGGUGGGAACGCCUGUGGCUGCUUGUGAACUUGACCUGGGCCGAUCUAGAAGACCGAGAUGGACGUGUCUACGCCAAAGCCUCAGAUCUCUAUAUCACGCUGCCCCUGGCCUUGCUCUUCCUCAUCGUUCGAUACUUCUUUGAGCUGUACGUGGCUACACCACUGGCUGCUCUCUUGAACAUAAAGGAGAAAACCCGACUGCGGGCACCUCCCAAUGCCACCUUGGAACAUUUCUACCUGACCAGUGGCAAGCAGCCCAAGCAGGUGGAGGCAGAGCUUUUGUCCUGGCAGAGCGGGCUCUCCGGCCGCCAGGUAGAGCGUUGGUUCCGCCGCCGCCGCAACCAGGACCGGCCCAGUCUCCUCAAGAAGUUCAGAGAAGCCAGCUGGAGAUUCACAUUUUACCUGAUUGCCUUCAUUGCCGGUAUGGGCGCCAUUGUGGAUAAACCCUGGUUCUACGACAUGAAGAAAGUUUGGGAGGGAUAUCCCAUACAGAGCACUAUCCCUUCCUAGUAUUGGUACUACGUGAUUGAACUUUCCUUCUACUGGUCCCUGCUCUUCAGCAUUGCCUCUGAUGUCAAGCGAAAGGAUUUCAAGGAACAGAUCAUCCACCAUGUGGCCACCAUCAUCCUCAUCAGCUUUUCCUGGUUUGCCAAUUACAUCCGAGCUGGGACUGUCAUCAAGGCUCUGCAUGACUCUUCUGACUACCUGCUGGAGUUAGCCAAGAUGUUUAACUAUGCGGGAUGGAAGAACACCUGCAACAACAUCUUCAUCAUCUUCGCCAUUGUUUUCAUCAUCACCCGACUGGUCAUCCUGCCCUUCUGGAUCCUGCAUUGCUCCCUGGUAUACCCACUGGAGCUCUAUCCUGCCUUCUUUGGCUAUUACUUCUUCAAUUCCAUGAUGGGAGUUCUACAGCUGCUGCAUAUCUUCUGGGCCUACCUCAUUUUGCGCAUGGCCCACAAGUUCAUAACUGGAAAGCUGGUACAAGAUGAAGGCAGUGACUGGGAAGAAACAGAGAACUCAGAGGGGGAGGAGGCUGCAGCUGGGGGAGGAGCAAAGAGCCGGCCCCUAGCCAAUGGCCACCCCAUCCUCAAUAACCAUCAUCGUAAGAAUGACUGAACCAUUAUUCCAGUUGCCUCCCAGAUUAAUGCAUAAAGCCAAGGAACUACCCCCCUCCCCGCGCUAUAGGGUCACUUUAAGCUCUGGGGAAAAAGGAGAAAGUGAGAGGAGAGUUUUCUGCAUCCUCCCUCCUUGCUUUUCACCCAGUUGCCUUUAAACCAAAUUCUAACCAGCUCAUCCCCAGUAGGGGGAUGUUGGUUAUAUUCUGUUAGAGGGGGAUGGUUGUAUUUUCCUCCCUAUCCUCCAAGUCAUCCUUUCUACUGCUUUUGAGGCCCUCCCUCAGCUCUCUGUGGGUAGGGGUUACAACUCACAUUCCUUAUUCUGAGGAUUUGGCCCUAGCUGUUUGCCUUUGACUCCCUGACCUCCAGAGUCAGGGUUGUGCCUUA